GCGGGUGCUAACGUCCGUCGUCAAGAGGGAAACAACCCAGACCGCCAGCUAAGGUCCCCAAGUACCAGUUAAGUGGGAAACGAUGUGGGAAGGCUCAGACAGCUAGGAGGUUGGCUUAGAAGCAGCCAUCCUUUAAAGAAAGCGUAAUAGCUCACUAGUCGAGUCGGCCUGCGCGGAAGAUGUAACGGGGCUCAAACUGGUCACCGAAGCUGCGGCUGCAUACUUUGUAUGCGGGGGAGGGGAGCGUUCUGUAAGACUGCGACGGCGUGUUGAGAAGCAUGAU
rnacentral:rRNA from 1 species